CUGGAGACAGGUGCUGCAUGGCUGUCGUCAGCUCGUGUCGUGAGAUGUUGGGUUAAGUCCCGCAACGAGCGCAACCCUUGCCUUUAAUUGCCAGCAGUUCGGCUGGGCACUCUAAAGGGACUGCCGGUGUUAAACCGGAGGAAGUGGGGAUGACGUCAAGUCCUCAUGGCCUUUAUGACCAGGGCUACACACGUACUACAAUGGCCGAUACAAAGGGCAGCGACACUGCGAGGUGAAGCCAAUCCCGUAAAAUCGGUCUCAGUCCGGAUUGGAGUCUGCAACUCGACUCCAUGAAGUUGGAAUCGCUAGUAAUCGUGGAUCAGCAUGCCACGGUGAAUACGUUCCCGGGCCUU
rnacentral:rRNA from 1 species